GUUAACAACAAGCCUGCGCAGACUACUACCUUCAAGAGCUCGGCCACUUAUCCAGAGACUGUCAUGAUUGUGCAGAUCGCAGAGGGAAAAAUGGGCAGAAGACUGUCAACGUUGUGACCGCUAGCAACACUGAGACCAUGGAAGGGAUUCAACCGUCUUGAUGGGAAACACGUCACACGCAACUGUUCAUGGUGUUGGUACGGUCGAUCUGAAGUUUACAUCGGGCAAGAUUGUGCGGCUAAGGAAUGUGAUGCAUGUCCCCUCCAUGAACAAGAAUCUCGUUAACGGUUCCAUUUUAUGCAGAGAUGGUUUUAAGGUAGUUUUGGAGUCUAAUCAAGUAGUUGUUUCCAAACAUGGACAAUUUAUUCGUAAAGACUAUGAGUGCGGAGGCUUUGUUCCGUUUUCCCUUUCAGAUUUUAGUAACAUGUCAGUGAAACAUAUUUGUGGCAAUCUUAA